UGUGAAUGGAGACUAGCCUGCUGGUAGAGACCUUGGCAGUGACCGCCGUGGGCAAUGAGCCAUGGGCCAACAAUAUUCAGUGCUGCGUUCCCUGAUGGAUGGUUACUGUUUGAGACUGAGGCCGGGGUAAAAGGGCUCAGUUUGUGCUUGAUUGACUCAUCCCGACGUGGCAAAGGUCCUGGCUUUCACCGGCGUGGGUAAGGGAAGAAGCGCUUUAUAAUGAAGACUAUAGUAGACUGAAUUACUCUCUGAGAUGAGGAGUUUGCUCUUGCCAUUUCAUAACCACUGGUGGCAGUUUUCGUCUUGCUUACAAGCUCUCCAGUUAUGCUCAGUAUUUCCAUGACAUCCCAAGACAUGCGGGCCAUGCUGCCACAUCCCCCUGUUUAACAAGUGUGGAAACUGAUAAUGGACUUACAAUGGCUGAUGUACUAUUUAGUGGUACAGGUUCUAACGUUUUAUAUUGUGGACAUGGGAUACCCAGACUGAGAACCAAUGGCUCCAGUCUGCUUUAAACAUGGGUCUGUGCUCACACCAUCAAUCCCUACCCUCUGUGCUCACAAGUCCCGUGUGAGUAAUACUCCAAAUUAUUCUGUCUUGUUUUGCUCAAUGGCAUGCUCUAUCUUAUGAUAGAGUAGACAAUGUAUUGAGACAAGAAUGCCAGUCAUCUGACAAACAAAAUGCAACCACUCUUUGUCAUUUAAUUAGUGAUGAAUAGUUGUGUUGAUCAUCAAACGUGUAUAAUUGGAUGAGAAGAGGUGUAACACGGGCCAAUGAUGACGAGGUUUCGGGAUUAUAAGUCACGGCAGCAUAAGAUGCCUCAUGUGACCCUCCCAUGCAGGGGUUGCAAGUCAGGCAUGUGCAGCACACAAUAGAUAUUAGCCAUGCACUCUCUUCAUUUCAUAGUAGAUCACAGAAUCAAGAUACGGAAAGG
rnacentral:lncRNA from 1 species